CGGGGGCAUAGUCAUCUUUAUCCUCUCACCCCUUUCCUAUCCCCCACCCCUACCUCGAACCCAAAAUUCACCCUACUGUCGCCACCUCCAUCUCUACAACAACCUGCUAUCUAUCACCAUCACCCAUCCCAUCAUAAUCAGCCACCCAAUUUUGGCACCGUCGUAGCCUUUUUUUGGCCAAAAUUUUUUGCUUUACAUAAGCUAGAGUUCCACAUAGCGUGUGUAGAAGCUCGUCAGGAUGAAUAUGUUUGGUGAUGGUGCAGAGUUCGAAAUCGGUGACUUUCAAAUCACCAUUCUCUUCUAGUAACAGAUUUUCUAGCUUCAAAUCGCGGUGGUAAAUGUCGUGUGAAUGGUAUUAACUCAAUGCGGAGAUCAGUUGUUGAAAAUAAUGCGGCUGAGAUCUUCGUCGAAAUGCCCUCUCGGCACUUUCGCAAAUAAUUAACCUAAAAAAUAAAUCUAGUUUUUGUUGCCAGAACUUCAUAUAGCAUCACAAUAUGCAGGUGAUUCGAUAUAUGCAUAAUCAAGAUCUCCCGCUUUAUAUUCCCCGUGAGAUUAUAAAUUGAUUUGGUGGAGGUUGUUAGGUGACAACGAUUGUAAUGGGAUAGAUAAUGGAGACUAGUAGAAAAUGGUUGGCGAGGUGGAAGUGGAAGUGGAAAUGGAAGUGGCAGUGGUUAGGUGGGUUUUGGGUUUGAUGUGGGGUGGAUGGGGGUGAGAGGAAGAAGAAG
rnacentral:lncRNA from 1 species